GAUGAACGCUAGCGGCAGGCUUAACACAUGCAAGUCGAGGGGUAUAUUUCUUCGGAGAUAGAGACCGGCGCACGGGUGCGUAACGCGUAUGCAAUCUACCUUUUGCAGAGGGAUAGCCCAGAGAAAUUUGGAUUAAUACCUCAUAGUAUAGUGAGCUGGCAUCAGCGCACUAUUAAAGUCACAACGGCAAAAGAUGAGCAUGCGUCCCAUUAGCUAGUUGGUAAGGUAACGGCUUACCAAGGCUACGAUGGGUAGGGGUCCUGAGAGGGAGAUCCCCCACACUGGUACUGAGACACGGACCAGACUCCUACGGGAGGCAGCAGUGAGGAAUAUUGGACAAUGGGCGCAAGCCUGAUCCAGCCAUGCCGCGUGCAGGAUGACGGUCCUAUGGAUUGUAAACUGCUUUUGUACAGGAAGAAACAUCCCGACGUGUCGGGACUUGACGGUACUGUAAGAAUAAGGAUCGGCUAACUCCGUG
rnacentral:rRNA from 1 species